GGCCCUGGUCGAGGUCCUGGCCCUGGUCGAGGUCCUGGCCCUGGUCGAGGUCCUGGCCCUGGUCGAGGUCCUGGCC
rnacentral:miRNA from 1 species